rnacentral:rRNA from 2 species
CAGUCAGAGGCGAUGAAAGGCGUAAUAACUUGCGAUAAGCCCAGAUUAGGUAGUAAUAACCUUUUGAGUCUGGGAUUCCUGAAUGGGGAAACCCACUUGCAUAAGCAAGUAUCCUGUUGUGAAUACAUAGCAACAGGAGGCAAACCGGGGGAACUGAAACAUCUAAGUACCCCGAGGAAGAGAAAUCAACCGAGAUUCCGAAAG